rnacentral:rRNA from 1 species
GCCUAACACAUGCAAGUCGAACGGCCAGCACAGGAGAGCUUGCUCUCUGGGUGGCGAGUGGCGUGACGGGUGAGUGAACUACAUCGGAAUCCUACUUUAUUUCGUGGAGUGUGAUAACGUCGUGGAUAACUUACGCUAAUACCGCAUACGACCUACGGGUGAAAGCAGGGUGAUCUUCGUGACCUUGCGCGAUUGAAUGAGCCGAUGUCGGAUUAGACUAGUUGGCGUGGGUAAAGGCCCACCAAAUGGCGACGAUCCUGUAGCUGGUCUGAGAGGAUGAUCAGCCACACUGGGAACUGAGACACGGUCCAGACUCCU